rnacentral:lncRNA from 1 species
GAACUGUCUUUGGACCCAUGGAUGGUUUUGUAAGGAAGUAGUGCCUAACGCAAGUUGUAGUAAAGACCCAUGGGUAAAUGAAAACGCCUGUCCUGGGACCCGGGAGACCGGGAGGGAGCUCCAAGGCUCUUGGCCCAAGGGCGACUUGCUGGGAGGUGCCUCCUUCCAGCUGGGAAGCCAGUGCCCAGAGCAGAUGCCUCUGCUCCGCCACAGCGCUUUGAAAUGGUGACUCAGGCUUCAUGCACGCCCACUGCUGCCCGUCAGAACUCUCGGCUUCAGCAGUUAGCUUGGAAGGCAGUCGUGAGCGGGGUAUUUUGGGCAGCAUCUCAGCAGAGGGGCCCCAGCUGUGCGGGUGUUCUCCGCCUCUGCAGGCGCUGCCUGCCCUGCAGAACUCCCUCCUCGCGGCCCGGGGAGGCCGCAGGGUGCAGUUGGGAUGACCUCCCUGGCUUGGUUGGCUCCAGCCUGAGCCUUUGGGGCCGGGCUCCUCAGGGCAGCAGGCGCGACCCGUGAAGACGUCAGCGAUUCCAGCGCUCUCCAUCAUCGCUCGUGCCUCCUGUACUGGAGGUUUUCACACUGCGCGCUUCCUCCACCCUCUAAGGAGAAUGAGGUCCUUCCCCCGGGCUCCCUUUUUUCAUGCAGAAUGGAGUCAGGGGAAUGGGCCGAGUGGAGAAAAUAAGCAGAGAGCCGUGAGAAGGGGGAGAGGGCUCUGGCCGGCCCAGCUGGCUCCAGCACAUUCCUUGGUGGGGAAAUUAGAGUGAAAUGAGUGGAGAAAAAACUAAAACAUGCCAGAGAAGCUCAGGUGGGCUGUGAAAUAAAAAAGCUGAACAAGAGGAGGAAACCCAGGAGGGACUGA